AAUGAAACCUAGUGAUUUAUCUGUUAGUGGCGGACGGGUGAGUAACGCGUGGGUAACCUGCCGUAUACAGGGGGAUAACACUUAGAAAUAGGUGCUAAUACCGCAUAAGCGCACAGCUUCGCAUGAAGCAGUGUGAAAAACUCCGGUGGUAUACGAUGGUUCCGCGUCUGAUUAGCUAGUUGGCGGGGUAACGGCCCACCAAGGCAGCGAUCAGUAGCCGGCCUGAGAGGGUGAACGGCCACAUUGGGACUGAGACACGGCCCAAACUCCUACGGGAGGCAGCAGUGGGGAAUAUUGCACAAUGGGGGAAACCCUGAUGCAGCGACGCCGCGUGAGUGAAGAAGUAUUUCGGUACGUAAAGCUCUAUCAGCAGGGAAGAAAAUGACGGUACCUGACUAAGAAGCCCCGGCUAACUACGUGCCAGCAGCCGCGGUAAUACGUAGGGGGCAAGCGUUAUCCGGAUUUACUGGGUGUAAAGGGAGCGUAGACGGCAGCGCAAGUCUGGAGUGAAAUGCCGGGGCCCAACCCCGGAACUGCUUUGGAAACUGUGCAGCUUGAGUGCGGGAGAGGUAAGUGGAAUUCCUAGUGUAGCGAUGAAAUGCGUAGAUAUUAGGAGGAACACCAGUGGCGAAGGCGGCUUACUGGACCGUAACUGACGUUGAGGCUCGAAAGCGUGGGGAGCAAACAGGAUUAGAUACCCUGGUAGUCCACGCCGUANACGAUGAUUACUAGGUGUCGGGGGACCAAGGUCCNCCGGUGCCGGCGCAAACGCAUUAAGUAAUCCA
rnacentral:rRNA from 1 species